CAGAUAGUGAAUGAGGACAGAAAAGGCAUAAAAACUGGUACACCAAAGACAAGGGGCACACGCAGUCCUAGCCAAAGUCCCCACUAAAGAGAUUAAGAUCUUGCUCUGACCAGUCAGUUAACCACAGAGCGAACAUUCAGCUUCUCGCAUCCCGCGCCCAGCAGGGACCUCAUUUAUAGCUGAACAGAGGCUGAAGAGGAAAAGAGCAUGUGCUUGGGCAUUCAUGGGAACCCACCUGUCUCUGGAUCCCCAACGCUGAGUAGGGUCUAGCAGAGGCAGUCCCUCAACCCUGGUCCACUGAUCUCCCUAGCUCCUGCUGCUUCCAAACCACAGACACAACUUCCCCACAUGCAGUGUGGACUCAAGGAGACUCUGCAAAUCCCUGACCUAAAACCACAGAAAUGAGGCAGGGCCAAAGAUCCUCUUCCAGGACAAGCCGUGUUGGAGGCGUGGGGCCCGGCCUCUGGGUUACAGGUUGUCUUAAGGAGGUGUUCCCGGGUUGGUGCCAUUCCCAGACCCCCUACCUGUCCCCAGUGGGAGCCAGUCCAACUCUUUCUGCCUCCGGCUCCGACGGCUCAGCCCGGCUUGGCCCAGUGCGGUUGCCGGACUCAGGUGAGGCUCUGGAGUCUCAAAGGCGGUCCUGGAAGAGGCAGAAGCUGCCCAUUCCUAUCAGCAUCCCUUCCAGGGGAAAAGUGGGCGAGCCAGGAGCAACAAAACAGGAAAGUCUGCGUGUC